rnacentral:lncRNA from 1 species
GUGUAAUUAAUAAUUGUCUUUAUGUCGCUGGUGGGGAGUGUGAAGGACUACAGAGGACUCUCCGUUCAGCUGAAGUUUAUGACCCCAACCGGAAGCGCUGGAGUUUUAUAGCUGAUAUGAGCACAGCGAUGGUGCCUUUUAUUGGGGUUGUAUAUGAUGGGAAGUGGUUUGUAAAAGGCUUGGAUAGCUGAUAUGAGCACAGCGAUGGUGCCCUUUAUUGGGGUUGUAUAUGAUGGGAAGUGGUUUGUAAAAGGCUUGGGAUCCCGCAGAGAAGUUCUCAGUGAAGCUUAUAACCCUGAUAUCAAUGCGU